rnacentral:misc_RNA from 1 species
UCCUAGUUAACCUAGGCAGUCUCAUUAGAGUCCCCACCUCGCGUGUUGGCAACUAAUGAUAAGGGUUGCGCUCGUUGCGGGACUUAACCCAACACCUCACGGCACGAGCUGACGACAGCCAUGCAGCACCUGUACAAAGACCCUUGCGGGAAAUUUCAUCUCUGAAAUCGUCCUCUGUAUUUCAAACCUGGGUAAGGUUCUUCGCGUUGCAUCGAAUUAAACCACAUGCUCCACUGCUUGUGCGGGCCCCCGUCAAUUCUUUUGAGUUUCACCCUUGCGAGCGUACUCCCCAGGCGGUAUACUUAUCGCGUUAGCUUCGACACAGCCAGGGUUGAGCCUAGCUACAUCAAGUAUACAUCGUUUACGGCAAGGACUAC